CUAAGCGGAGGAGAAGAAACUAACCAGGAUUUCCCUAGUAACGGCGAGCGAACCGGAAAGAGCCCAGCUUGAAAAUCGUGGUGCUUCGCACCUCGAAUUGUAGUCUGGAGAUGCAUCCUCUGCCGCGCACCAGACCCAAGUUCCCUGGAAAGGGACGUCAGAGAGGGUGACAACCCCGUCGAGUCUGGACCGUGUUGCUCCACGAGGUGCAGUCUGCGAGUCGGGCUGUUUGGGAAUGCAGCCCUAAGUGGGUGGUAAAUUCCAUCCAAGGCUAAAUACUGGCAAGAGACCGAUAGCGAACAAGUACCGCGAGGGAAAGAUGAAAAGGACUUUGAAAAGAGAGUUAAAAAGUGCUUGAAAUUGCUGGGAGGGAAGCGAAUGGAAGCUGCGGGUGUGCCCCGGUUGGAUGUGGAACGGCCUGCGCUGGUCCGCCGCUCAACGCGGGGCACUGGUCAGCGUGGGCCAUCGCGGCGGGACAAGAGCGGGGUGUAGUUCCCCGCCUAUGCCGUUGCGGUGGCCGAGGAACGAAGCGCGCGCCUUUCCUGGCGUCCCCCUCGGGGGAACUGCGCGCUCGGGACGCUGGCGUAUUGAGCUCUUCAUCCGACCCGUCUUGAAACACGGACCAAGGAGUCUAACAUGUAUGCGAGCCGGUGGGCGGCAAACCCAUUGAGGCGCAAGGAAACUGACAGGUGGGACCCCGUCAAAGGGAGCACCAUCGACCGACCGUGAUCUUCUGUGAAAGGUUUGAGUGUGAGCAUACCUGUUGGGACCCGAAAGAUGGUGAACUAUGCCUGAGCAGGGCGAAGCCAGAGGAAACUCUGGUGGAGGCUCGUAGCGAUACUGACGUGCAAAUCGUUCGUCAGACUUGGGUAUAGGGGCGAAAGACUAAUCGAACCAUCUAGUAGCUGGUUCCCUCCGAAGUUUCCCUCAGGAUAGCUGGAGCUCGUGUAAGAGUUUUAUCAGGUAAAGCGAAUGAUUAGAGGCAUCGGGGGUGUAACACCCUCGACCUAUUCUCAAACUUUAAAUAGGUAAGCCGCCGGGGUUGCUUGGUUGAACCCCGGCACAGAAUGAGAGCUCCAAGUGGGCCAU
rnacentral:rRNA from 1 species